UCUGCGGAGAAGAGGAGUGCCUGCUCCCUCUCCCUGUUGGCUUCCUCCUCCCCACCUUGUCCUGCCAAUCAGCUGAGAGACUGACUCCACACAGCUUUAUCUCACCUCAAGGAAAGGCUAACAUACGCCAUCAGCCAGCACAGCAUUGACAGAGAAGUGAGGAGCAAGUGGUUCAGCAGUUCAGUAAAUAUGGCGGUCAACCUGAAACACUCUGCCCACUUGAGGAAGACUUGACUGUCAUCUGCACCCCGCAAGACAUGGUUCUCAGAGAUCUUACUAUACUACUGUAUUAUAUGAUUCUCCAAGUGAAGAGAAUGGAGGGAAGCAUUAUCUACAGAUCCAUUUUUAUGCUGCUGGAGCACUGAGGCACCACUCUUUUGCAAGUUCUGGAAAAAACAGAGCAGGGGUUACAUGGAAUCAGAAUGGGAGAGUCAGCAGCCACAAACCACAAGCUCCACAGGAACCAGGAAAAGAAAGACUACUCUGGGCCACCACUCCCAAUUAAGAAGCCUUGGUUACUCCAGGAAAUUCAUCUUUAGAGAAGAACAUCUAGAUGUUUUCCUAGGGAGUUUGCCGGUCAUUCUGUGAACAGGACAGGACAGGAGAGGGUGGAUGCAACCAGCAAAGCCUUCCACAGAUGAAUCAUAGAUUAACCCACCUCUUUGCAAUUACUCUUUCCCCUUCUGCCCUCCUUACCAACACCAAGCUGCAAGUGUGUCCAGGUUUUAAUCAGCAUGACAAUCCUACCUGCACUGCAGCCUCACCCAGCAAAUGCUCAAGCCUGGACCGCUUCCCCCACUGUUUCCUCUGUGAACAUGCUUCCAUUCAUCCUGUCUGAUGUGCUGUAACCUCUCAGUUGAUGAACCUGCCCACCCCCAUACAUUUGCCACCAGGUAUUCAUUGUUUUGUAUACUUUCCAACUAUCAUUUUGACGAUGCCUGAUGAGGGGGAAAGUCUCCAUUUGCCAGCCUCUGCAAAAUUAGAAAAAUACUUGUAAAUGUCCUUUGGAGAAUAUCACCAAGUUUUACGAGAAAGAAGGGCUAUAAAAAAUAAAAAGCAGUGGCUAAUAGCAUUCUAAAAAGAUGUUGGUCAGCUUUGGGGAGAAAUUACCUUUCAAUUUACAUGGACUGACUCCAUACAUUCAUUUAUUCAUUCAUUUUUUUGUAAUAAAUACUGAAAGUUUAUUAUUUACCACAGGCUACCACAGGUAGCAGGGCAAGAACCAUGAACAAAAAUGGUCUUCUAGUCCCAUCCUCAAGGAAUUUAGAAUUUAUGGGUAAAAUUACCAUUUGAAAUUUGAAUUUAUUUGUACACUGUUGGAAGUUCAGGACACUAAGAAAGCACCUUAAAAAAAAAAAAAAGCACAGAAACCAGACUUUGUAUUUCAUGGAAGGACUACUGGAGGAAGUAAUCUGAGAAAUAAAAUAGAAUCAGCCACAUUAAGGCAUGGGGUGGGGUGGGAUUGAGUGUUCCAAAUAGAGGAAAUAGUAUGCUAGAGCCUCAGAAGUGGCUCCCACCUGCCCAUAUGAAAAACUUCACACAUGAAUAUUGACUGUGCUCGGAAUGCCCUCCCAUCUACCACUCCCAAUCCACCAACUGUGGCAAAAUUCUCAACUCAGGCACUCACCCACUCUCUGAGGAACUAAUGGAAUCUUCCCCCACAGGUCUAGGCAUUUUCUUCCAUUUGUACCUUAUAUGUUCUAUGGUUUUAGCAAUGGGCACACUCUGUAAAAGUGUUGGGUUCCUCCUUGUA